rnacentral:sRNA from 1 species
UGAAACUUAUAAUCUAACUAGAUUUUAACCCGCGGUAUACCGCGGGAACAAUUUAUUUUUUAAAGUUAGUAUAUAUAAAAGUUUACAAAUUGUAUCUAUUUAUAAAAUAAUUUUAUUUUAUAGUUUACAAAUGUUAUUAAGUAACAUCCUGCCAAACCCGUCCUGUAAAAAAGAAAACCAUUUAUUUUAUUAAUGUUGAUCUUAUUUAUGAUAUGUUUAUGAAUCAUUGUCUAAAUAUUUUGUAAUUUUGUAGUAAUUAAAUGCUAUCAGAUUAUAUCUCUUCGCUUUGAUGAUUAUAAUCGAAUUGUUAUAGUUAUGGAGAAAAGCAAUAUCAAAAAUGAUAAUUUUGUAGUAAUUAAAUGAUAUUAAAUAUUUUAGAAGUAUU